rnacentral:lncRNA from 10 species
GUUCGUACCCGGUCCGGGUCGGCUGGGCUGCCCGCCGCUCCGCGCGCCCGGGCGGUCGCAGGUCGCGCCUGCUUUGGCCCCGGCGGGUUCGGCAUCCGAGCCUGGCAGGGGCCAAUAGACAGGGCCUCUGGAGUGCAGUGGCGUGAUCUCGGCUCACUACAGCGUCUGCCUACCGUGUUCAAGCGAUCCUCCCACCUCAGCCUGUUGAGCAACCGGGACCCCAGAAAGUUUCCUACACUACUGAGGUUUAGGGGCACUGUGAAGCAAAAGCCACGCCUCAGAAUCCCAGGCGGAGACUCCGACCUCGUCCCGGGAGGGAAGCCAGUAGCUGAGCACCUGCGGGAGAUUAAAGAGAGGAAUAAGGAGAAACACUGGAAGGCAAGUGGCUGCUGACUGGAGGAGAUAAUUGGAUGCUGCAAGCGGCAAAGGGCUCGGGAUGCAAAACACCGCAAGAAAUGCAACAAGUGAGGAGCAUUCCCGCAAAGAAAAAACGCACAGGCCGAGAGCAGUGGCUCACGCCUGUAAUCCCAGCAGUUUGGGAGGCCGAGGCAGGUGCAUCGCUUGAGGACAGGAGUUCGAGACUAGGCUGGCCAACAUGGUGAAACCCCAUCUCUACUAAAAAUACAA